rfam:Trichobilharzia regenti genome assembly, scaffold: TRE_scaffold0004713
AUCCAGGUGACGAAUCCCGAACAGAACGAAAUGCGCAUCCUGGAU